GGCCUAGUGGCGAAGUUGGUUAACGCAGCGGUCUGCAAAACCGCGAUGCGCCGGUUCGAAUCCGGCCUAGGCCU
rfam:Candidatus Thrbacteria bacterium RIFCSPLOWO2_02_FTLL_49_11 rifcsplowo2_02_scaffold_5774, whole genome shotgun sequence.